rnacentral:lncRNA from 1 species
ACGUCUUAUCAUUUGAUCUGCACAUGCUUUAAAUAGAAAUGGUUCAUCCCAAAAAUAUUGUUUCGCAUCGUGGAGAAACUUCUUCUGUUGUUGUGAUGUCAAAUCCGGCAGUAACACCUUGGCAACCACAUAGUUGACAUAGUCAGCAUACCAAGGCAGUAUGGUAGUUACCUGGAACAGUUGCUCAUCCGGAAAUUCUUCAUUAAUCACUGAGUUGUCUUCUUUCUGUUCCUUUUUAUUUUCCAACCGAGACAGAUGAUCCGCCACUUG